AUUGAACGCUGGCGGCAUGCUUUACACAUGCAAGUCGAACGGUAACAGGUUAAGCUGACGAGUGGCGAACGGGUGAGUAAUGCAUCGGAACGUGCCCGGUCGUGGGGGAUAACGCAGCGAAAGCUGCGCUAAUACCGCAUACGAUCUGAGGAUGAAAGCGGGGGACCGUAAGGCCUCGCGCGAUCGGAGCGGCCGAUGUCAGAUUAGGUAGUUGGUGGGGUAAAGGCCUACCAAGCCGACGAUCUGUAGCUGGUCUGAGAGGACGACCAGCCACACUGGGACUGAGACACGGCCCAGACUCCUACGGGAGGCAGCAGUGGGGAAUUUUGGACAAUGGGCGCAAGCCUGAUCCAGCAAUGCCGCGUGCAGGAAGAAGGCCUUCGGGUUGUAAACUGCUUUUGUACGGAGCGAAAAGGCUCUCUCUAAUACAGGGGGUUCAUGACGGUACCGUAAGAAUAAGCACCGGCUAACUACGUGCCAGCCGCCGCAGUAA
rnacentral:rRNA from 1 species